UGGCACGCAAUCUGAGCAGCUCAGUGAUUGAUCGCAGUAAAGAGGUGGUCCUUCUUUGAGAUUUCUAAACUGUUUGUUGCUACGAUUAUAUUUUUCGGGCUGUAUAUCAAUACCAGCGGUGCUGUCCCUGCAUUCCUGUUUUGCAGAGUGAACAAGUGCAGGCGAGCUCCCAGAUGGAAAAAGAGGGCCUGAUAAGAGGUCUCAAAUUUCUUCGUGAGCAAGGCAUGACUGUGAGUUCAUUGACUUACAGACCGCCACUCUGGAAUUAAGAAGCACAUGCGGCUGCAAUGUCCAGAGAUAAUUCACUUCGAUGUGUGGCAUGUUGGAAAAGGCAUCAGGAAAAAGUUGGCCACAGCUUCACGAAGGGCUGGAUGCAAUGCUAUUCUGGAAUGGACGCAAGCCAUCAUCAACCACCUGUACUGGUGUGUAUGCGCUUGCGGUGGCAAUGGGGACAUGCUGGUGGCUGUAUGCAGGAGCAUGCUGAAUCAUGUAAGGGACAUACAUGAAGGACAUGGUGACCUGUAUCCCCGCUGUCUCCACGGACA
rnacentral:lncRNA from 1 species